rnacentral:snoRNA from 1 species
CAGUAGUGAUGAGAUGACACUUUAUUGGUCCGUGUUUUCUGAACCACAUGAUUUUCCUGGGUGUUCUGAUGCU